rnacentral:rRNA from 1 species
GGUAGCUUGCGCUCCCCGGUCUCGAAGCCCCGACGAGUAGGAGGGUCGCAGCGGUGAGCGUCGAAGGGACUCCGGCGUGAGCCGGCCUGGAGCCGCCGCUGGUGCAGAUCUUGGUGGUAGUAGCAAAUACUCGAGAGAGACCCUAGAGGGCUGAUGUGGAGCAGGGUUCCAUGUGAACAUCAGUUGGACAUGGGUCAGUCGGUCCUAAGUCCAUGGCGAAGGCCAGUUCCUACCGCGCAGGCAAAUGUCAAAACGUGUYGUUACUGCGGAGGGCGUGUGGGGAGAUGAGAGACGUGUGUUCAGGAUCUUUUCGGAGACCUAAUAGCCCUCUUCCCCUUCACCCCCAUGCCCCCCUCGUCCACACGUGUGCGUGAUAUGUCCAAAGAAUACUCUUCUGGACGAAAGGGAUUCCGGUAAAUAUUCUGGAACUUGGCUUCGGAGAUGCUCGGUGCCCUCGGUCGGUUACGGCCGGCCUUGGGAGUCACACUGUGGCAUAAACCCCAGUAAUGGGAUCAAAGCCCGCAUCCGUCGGCGGUGGCCCAGGGAAGAGUUUUCUUUUCUGUUUAAGACAUCUUUAGCCCUGGAAGCAACUUGCUAGGAGAGAGGGCUGUGGUACAAGGUAUCACUG